rnacentral:rRNA from 1 species
UACAGAGGCCUCGAGCGUUAGGCGGAAUCACUCGGCUUAAAGCGUGUGUAGGUGGAUGCCUAAGUACCUUGUGAAAUCCCACGGCUUAACCGUGGAAUUGCUUGGUAUACUGGGUGUCUUGAGCCACUCAGGGGCUACCGGAACAAGCGGUGGAGCGGUGAAAUGCGUAGAUAUCGCUUGGAACGCCAAUGGUGAAAACAGGUAGCUGGGGGUGUGCUGACACUGAGACACGAAAGCCAGGGGAGCAAACGGG